rnacentral:rRNA from 1 species
AUGAACGCUGGCGGCGUGGAUAAGGCAUGCAAGUCGGACGAUUUCCUUUUUUGAAGAAGAUGCGAUUACAUCAAGCCAACUGAUAUUUUGGAGAUAGUGGCGAACGAGCUAGUAACACCUUGGUACGUACCCAAAAGUUUGGUAUAGCUCGCCGAAAGGCGGGGUAAUCCCAAAUAAUCCCUCUAUCUAUCGGAUAGAAGGGUAAAGUCGCAAGACGCUUUUGGAGCGGCCUAGGACCGAUCAGUUAGUUGGUGAGGUAAUGGCUCACCAAGACGAUGACCGGUAGGGG